UACGUAGGGGGCUAGCGUUGUCCGGAAUCAUUGGGCGUAAAGAGCGUGUAGCGGCUCGGUAAGUCCGCUGUGAAAGUCCAGGGCUCAACCCUGGAAUGCCAGUGGAAACUGUCGAGCUAGAGUCCGGAAGAGGCGAGUGGAAUUCCUGGUGUAGCGGUGAAAUGCGCAGAUAUCAGGAGGAACACCGGUGGCGAAGGCGGGUCUCUGGCCGAUACUGACGCUGAGGAGCGAAAGCGUGGGGAGCGAACAGG
rnacentral:rRNA from 1 species